GUGGGGAAUUUUGGACAAUGGGCGCAAGCCUGAUCCAGCAAUGCCGCGUGCAGGAAGAAGGCCUUCGGGUUGUAAACUGCUUUUGUACGGAACGAAACGGUCCGGGUUAAUACCCUGGGCUAAUGACGGUACCGUAAGAAUAAGCACCGGCUAACUACGUGCCAGCAGCCGCGGUAAUACGUAGGGUGCAAGCGUUAAUCGGAAUUACUGGGCGCAAAGCGUGCGCAGGCGGUUUUGUAAGACAGGCGUGAAAUCCCAGGGCUCAACCUGGGAAUUGCGCUUGUGACUGCAAGGCUGGAGUGCGGCAGAGGGGGAUGAAAUUCCGCGUGUAGCAGUGAAAUGCGUAGAUAUGCGGAGGAACACCGAUGGAGAAGGCAAUCCCCUGGGCCUGCACUGACGCUCAUGCACGAAAGCGUGGGGAGCAAACAGGAUUAGAAACCCGUGUAGUCC
rnacentral:rRNA from 1 species